GGCUCGCAACAUUUUAUUUAUGUCAAGGAAGGUCUGGUGCCAUCCACAGCUGGGAGACAGAAUGAGGAGUACUACUGAUCAGCUAGCUUCCUCCUUCUUAUGCAGGGACCAAGCCCAGAGCUAUGGGACACCUGUAGGCUGAGUCCUCUCAUCUCAACAAGACCAUACCUCACAGGCAUACCCAGAGGCUACAUCUAAAGAAUGCCUCACAGGUCUGCCCAGAGGCUUGCCUUCUUGGUGACCUCAGAUCCUGUCCCAUUGACAAUCAACACUCACCGUCAGGUAAAGUAGCAUCACCAUGGAGAAAGACUGUCUACACUUCAAAAUUUCUCCACUGAAUGGCUCUACAGAGCAAGAGUAAUAGGCCACUCCUAUGAACCAUGAUGUUUUCCCUUCUGUAGAAAUUUAAUUUAUUCAGUAGCCAUGAGAACAGAUCUCAUUCUCCCACUUCUGGAAAUAAAGACUUUACCUUA
rnacentral:sRNA from 1 species